GAGGUAGUGCGGGUUAUAACCUGCAUUAUGAGAAAUGGAAAAUCUCUCUUUUUUAACUGCAUUGUGCGACAAGUUGGGAGGUACUUGUUUGCUGAAAAAUGAAAGUUUUCACGUAAGUGAAGUACAAGAAAAAUAAGCGAAAACGAUUGUCAUGAAAUUACGGGUGAAGUUUUGUGACAAACACCGGGAUCGGCAAGUACAGAAAAUUAUGAGAAUGUUUAUAAAUUAGAAAUUCAGCUAAACCAGAAAAGAUCUAUCAAAGACACGAUUUGCAAUUGCAAAGGAGGCAUAUUUGUAUAUACGUGAAUACCGAAGAUGCUUAUUCGAAAACCAACGAGCCAAUGAUUUGGAAUAAACCGUCUGAUAAGCAACUUGAGAAGUAGAUAUCAAAAAGGAUGCAGAAUGAAGACACUUUUUUCAAAUGAAGAACCAUGUUUUAUUCCACACGUUUAUCGCAGUGUCCCUCUAGAAUCUCAAAAACAUUCAAGCAAUGCUAGUCCAUUGACUGAAUAAGCGAAUGCAAAAAAAAUAUCAAAUUAAGAAAGAAGUGAUUCAAAGAAUAAAAAACACAAGGAGAACAGGAAUUAAAGAAACUAAUAGAUAUUUUAUUUAGUUUACAAAAUAGUCAAGAGUUCAAAAAUAUAAUAGCUAUACAAUCGUAGAAUGUAUGAAAAAUAGAUAUAUUUGGCCAUAUUUGGCUUGUAGUCCGGAUGGCAUGGAUAUUAUAAAUAAUAAAAACAAAUAAUGGAUGUCCUGAAUUGUUCGAAAUUAAAUGCCCUAGUUCUUGUGAA